rnacentral:rRNA from 1 species
UACGGGGGGAGCAAGCGUUGUUCGGAUUUACUGGGCGUAAAGGGUGCGUAGGUGGGCAGGUAAGUCAGUGGUGAAAUCUCCGGGCUUAACCCGGAAACUGCCAUUGAUACUAUCUGUCUUGAAUACCGUGGAGGUGAGCGGAAUAUGUCAUGUAGCGGUGAAAUGCUUAGAUAUGACAUAGAACACCAAUUGCGAAGGCAGCUCACUACACGAAUAUUGACACUGAGGCACGAAAGCGUGGGGAUCAAACAGGA